UAGCACCUCAAAAUUCUGCUCUUAGCCAGAGUACAUUUCCCGGAGUCACUCCCAAUGCAAUAUCAACUACUGGUGAAAAUAAUGCCCCCCCUGCAGUGUCCAGUUUCAGUCAACUGGGUGCAUCACUUAAUAUGGGGUCUAAAACAAGGCCUUCUGCACCAUUAAAUAAUCCCUUUGGGCAACCAAAUCUCUUCUCAAAUUCUAGCCAGAGUUUCAGUACAUUUGGAAUAAGGCCCUCUGCAUCGUCAAAUAAUGCUUUUGGGCAACCAAAUUUCUUCUCUAAUGCAAGCCAAACCUCAAGUGCGUUUGGGACAAACAGUUUCGCACCUGCAAAUGCUGCAGGCUUCAGCAGUAGAACAAUCAACAAUCAAAGUAGUCCGUUUUCUUCAGCAGUGUCAACAGAAAUGACUAAUUCGUCUAGGUCUAGCGCUCAGCCUCUCAUUAUUUCCGAUGCACCUAAUUCAGCUUCUAAUGCAGUUGAGCCAGUAACUAAACAUAUUCAGUCAGUCAACGGCAUGCAAAGAGGAACUGUUUCUGGGGAUGCAAGUAUUUGGUUAAAAGAAAACUGGAUCCCUGGAGAGAUUCCUGAAGAGGCACCUCCGGAUCAAUAUAUUUAACAGGGGGAUAUUCUUUUUCCUGAUAUGUAUUUUUAUAUCAGCAGUGUAGCUGAUGAGCUAUGAA
rnacentral:misc_RNA from 1 species